rnacentral:lncRNA from 1 species
CAUCUAUCAUCCCGAAACCGUUGUAUCUUGGGGGCAAUUACUGUAGAUCCGCGAGCACAAAGCGGAAGUAAUUUUGCCUUACGGAGAGAGAAUUUAUUCUCGCCUCAGUUCUGCAUCCUUACAUUUAUCGUCAUUCUAUUUUCUACACUACCAAAUAACAUCUGCAACAUUAGAAAAUACAUAAAACAUAGUGAGAGGUGAGCAAGCUUGCCUUUGAGAGAGAGAGAGAGACCAAUCCAGCCAAUACUUUUCACAAACAUGUGGUGGGCAUGCUUAUACAUUGCAAUAACUCUGUUAUUCAAUUUAAUCUUUUGUCGAACAAUUGGUGUGCAAAAUAUUAACUGUUUCUAAAUGCACUUUACAUAAAAUAAUCACACUGCAAUGAGUUGAAAAACUCUCAAACAACCUACCCCAAAUAUUUAAAAUCAAGUCGACACUUGGGAGCUAAGGCCAUUGUCAUUAUAUCAAUCAUAAAUCAUUAAUAAAAUUAAUGAGUUGAACUAACGUAGCACAUGAGAAACCUAAAGCUUGACUGAAAACAUUGUAUAGAAUUACUACUUGAUUACCACAUUUCAAAGGCGCGGUCAUGGUGGCUUAAGAAAUCUCUUGUUGGCUUUCCAUGGCAGCGGCAGUACGAUACAACACAAAUUACAUUUUGUGGGGGCUGUGUGUAAU